rnacentral:rRNA from 1 species
AUACGUAGGGGGCGAGCGUUGUCCGGAAUGAUUGGGCGUAAAGGGCGCGUAGGCGGCUGUUUAAGUCUGGAGUGGAAGUCCUAUUUUUUAAGGUAGGAAUUGCUUUGGAAACUGAGCAGCUUGAGUGCAGGAGAGGUCAUCGGAAUUCCCGGUGUAGCGGUGAAAUGCGUAGAGAUCGGGAGGAACACCAGUGGCGAAGGCGGGUGACUGGACUGCAACUGACGCUGAGGCGCGAAAGUGUGGGGAGCAAACAGGAUUAGAUACCCUGGUAGUCCACACUGUAAACGAUGAAUGCUAGGUGUAGGGGGUAUCGACCCCUUCUGUGCCGCAGUCAACACAAUAAGCAUUCCGCCUGGGGAGUGCGGUCGCAAGAUUAAAACUCAAAUGAAUUGACGGGG